rnacentral:rRNA from 1 species
GACGAACCGUGCGAACGUUGUUCGGAAUCACUGGGCUUAAAGGGCGCGUAGGCGGGCUCACAAGUCAGGGGUGAAAUCCCACGGCUCAACCGUGGAAGUGCCUUUGAUACUGUGGGCCUUGAGGGAGGUAGGGGCGUGCGGAACUUCCGGUGGAGCGGUGAAAUGCGUAGAUAUCGGAAGGAACACCGGUGGCGAAAGCGGCGCGCUGGACCUCUACGUGACGCUG